GGAAUAGAAACCGACACACACAAAAUCCCCAAACUCACUCCUCUCUCUCACUGAAAUCGACCAUCGCCUGGCUGUCGACGAAAUUGGAAGUGAAGGUGGAAUCGCUCGCCGCCCCACCGGCAGAACCUUCGGCGUCAAAGGUCAUAUAUGAUAUCUUAAAGUUUGGUGUUUUAUUUCCAUUUUGUCGAUCCCGUGUUUCUUUAAAUUUAAUUUUUUUUUCCUUUUGUAUGCAGGCAGAAGACGUGAAACGUCCAAAACCUCCAUAGUCCAAAAGUUUGAGAAAUUAACGGAACCUAGACGAAAGUGCGGCGAUGGAGGUCGGAGACGAAACUGAUGUGGUAUACUCUUAUGCACAUACACUAGUAUUGUAUUUCAGUCCAUAGCACUAUUUGAUGAGAUUAUUUUUCUAGUUUGACAAGGUCUUGAAGUUUUGAACUGGUCAUAGGCUAGAAGUGAAAUCAAAUUAUUCUCUAUUGAAUGCAAUUUCAAUAUAACCAAAUUCAAUAACUAAAGAUGAAGGUUAACUAAAGACGUCAUUUCUGAAAACAUAUUGAUAUCUAUUGUUUAGUGAUUAUGAGCCUCGGAGACUAGGUGUUUGUCUGAAUGUGUGUUUGAAGGUUUUGUCGGAUAAGUAACACUGAAGAGCUUUCUAUACUAGCAAUUUUGAUAUGCCCAUCUUUAUUUUUGUUAACAGAUAUGUAGGGAAUUAGGAAGUAGCCAUAUAUAGUUCAAGAUUCUGAAAUUUGAAAUAGAUGUAUUUGCAUCUGGCUUUGAGAUCUGCUCUUUUUAAAGCCUAUUAUAGGUUGAUUCCUAAUAUUAGUUAAAUGAAAAUGCAUGCACUUUGGGACUAUUAGCUUGCCAAUAUUCUCUGUAAACACAACUAAAACUAAGUUAUGUUUCAAUAAAUUUAAUAUUGUCUACAUAAAUCCCUUUUUACCACUCUCUUUCUUUCAUUGUUACAUUUAUUGCUGUUUGACCAUUAAUAACCAAACAAAACUUGUAAAAAAUGUAUUCAAUGGUAACCACCCUAGAAUUCAAAUAUAGUCUUAUAAAUUAUAAUCUUCCAAUCCCAUAUAAUGGUGAAACUUGUGUGGAUGUAAAUUAAUUAACACAUAAUUUAAGUGUUUGUGUCAAUUACCCUUUUGAACUCUUAAUGGGUCAGGGUUUGGUAUAGUUGUAAAUGGUCUCCGCCGUUCAACCGAUUUCAGUUGCCCUUUUUCUCUUCUUUAUAAACUGAUGGCUUGAGUUUAUUAGGAUGUUGAUGUAGGUAAUUAAGUUUGGUAGAAGUGUGCAUUUGGUUUUUUAGGAUUUACGAUUGUACAUUUCGGUUGGGGUGCAAUGGCAGCAUGGGUGGUGCUUAAGGGUAGGGAUGGUCGGCUAUGGAAGGACAAACAUGGGUUUGGGAUAUUGUGUCCUUGGAAAAAGAUGUUUUCUCCUUUGUUGACGUCAAAAUUAGCAAGGAUAAUUUUGAACCAACUUCAAGAAAAAAGGCGAUUUAUUCUUGAAAAAGACCACAAAAAAUGUCCUUAAAGUGUGAUUGUGCCAUGAGUCGUUAUAUGAAUUCAUUUCCCCUUUACAAGAAUCUUAUUCAACUAUUUAUACAUAGUUUCAAUCGAAAUCACAUCAAAUCAGUCAAAUCAGUAACAGUACCGAGCUCGUAACUUGGGUAGCCGAAUUCUCCUAUGAUUGGUCAACGAGACCAGUGGCCAUGUGUCAAUGUUUUCCCCAGAUAAUGAUGGCCUGCAAGGGGCCUAAGGAUUAGUACUUAAGGAUUGGUCAUUUCGGGCGGUGAUGAUAUCAUCUGCGACAAGUGUAUUUGAUUGAUGGGGUGAUGUGUCAGGGUAAUCAUGACGUUUUAGUGAGAUAACGGCAAGAUUUUCCAACCUGGGAGAAGGAACCAAACUCUCAUUUGCUUGAGGUGGGUUUAACGAACUGUUUUAACUUAGAUCAGAGUUCGAUUGUCAACAGUUACCCCCCAGGUCAGCUUUACCGUAGGGAGGCUGACCUCAGUGAUGCUUUCUCCAAGAAGUAUAUUUAUUGCUGUGACAAGUGUCAUCUUUUGAUGAGGAUGAGUUCUACGCCAUUUAUAAAUAGCUUCUUCAGCAAGCUUGGCUAAAACUACGUCGUUUUGUUUCUUAGGCUUUUGAGCCGUUGAUUUUUUCCCUCAAUUUCUGGAUGGACGGUUCAGAUCACACCCUCUCAGCUUCUCUUUCUUUAAAUUCCUUUUUGGCCAGUCAUUUCUCCUCCUAUUUCGCUGGUUUAUUUUCUCAAAUAUUCGGGUAAUCUCCUGAGUUCGUAUUUUCAUAUUUGAGUGAGGUCAUUUUCCCAGUUCAUUUCCCAGGUAUUCUUCUGUUCUUAUCUGCUUCAUCCUUUCAGUUUGUGCUUUGUUUCCUAGUUUAUAUAUGAGUUCGGACGAGUCUAGAGUUCAUUCUUGGGGCAACCAGCAGGAAGAGUCAGUCCCCUUCUCGACGAGUUCGUCUUCUAGUUGUAGGGAAGUUUUUACCCCUGUUCCUAUUUCGAUAAUUAACCUGAUUGACUUAGGGUGUCCUAUCAUGGACUUCGGAUGUGAGGGUUCCAAGGGAGCGGGUAGAUCCAGUAAGGAUGUUGAGGAGAGUAAUUCUGGGAGGUGGGGGGCGAGUUUUAUAGGUCGAUUGUAAAAGGGGAUAUGUUAGCCAACUGGCGAGCUAAAUACGCCAUCCCUAGUUCGGUAGUGAUGAUAAUACCAGACCUAUCUGACCAGGCUGACACUCCUCCUGAGGGAUGUGUUGCUCUGAACUUGGCUAUCCUUCAGGCUAGCCUUAGGCUUCUCUUUCCUAGGGUAAUUCGUAAAUUCCUUUCUUCCUGGGGCAUAACCUCCACACAGCUAUGCCCUAACGGGUGGCGAACCUUAAUAGCCAUCCUUAUUUUGUGGAACCAAAUGGAGAAUCCCGAGCUAAGUGUCCAACAGUUUGAUUCUCUAUUUACUUUUAAGGAGGAUGGGAAGAGCUCGGGUUGGUGGUACACAAGCAUUAGGCCCAGGACAGGAGGUUCUCUGGUGUUAAACACCCCUUCCUCAACUAAGAAAUGGAAGGAAGAGUGGUUCUAUGUAUCAGGGGAGUGGCAGUUUCAUUCUGCCGAGGUGAAUAGGGAGGACGUGGUUCCCAGGCUCUAUCAUUCUUUAUGUAAGUGUUUUUUUGGGCUUUAGUCUUUUAGCAAGGUGUAUGUUGACGAAGUACUGACCUCGGUAUUUUUCCUUUGUGCAGAUUACAAGAAGGAGACGUUAACCAAAGAUACACAGAGACGAUCAGAGGUAAUAAGAUCAUUACCUAAAAAGCAAAGGUCCUGUAAGUUUGUGAUGUCAGAUUCGAACUUAUACCGGGCCGAUUUGUUGCAAGCACGAGCUUCAAGUUCGGCUCCUUUCAGUUCAGGUAAUAUUUUGACCCUCCUUCGCGGUUGUGGUUUCUUUAUGUAUAUAUAUAUUUAUUGAGCGUUUCGCUGUUUUCUCAGCUCAUCAAGAUGAGAUGCGGGGCUACAAGGCAGCAAAGGCAGCGACUGCGGCCAAAGGAAAAAAGAGAGAUGUCCCAGAAUGGUUGGAGAGCCUUUCUGAAGAGGUGGAGGAUGAGGUUCCACUGAAGAGGAACCGAUUUGCAUCCCCGGUAGCACUGAGGAUUCUUGAGGCAGUGCCUUUACCGAGCCUUACUCUGCCGUCUCUUUCUUUGCCUUCCCCAGCUGCACCCUCUGCUGUCGGGACUAGUUCUGUGAACUUGCAGGAUAGGUGCCCAGAUUUAUAGAGGCCGAGCUGGAAAUGUUUGGUGGGACACCGACCAGAGAUAUUUUUAGAUUAUCUCCGAGCUCCUUCUCCUUCCAGGGGGAUGACUGCCGCGCUCACUUCACCAUUGAGGGAGUCGGCCAAUCUGCUUACCCGAAGCUGGGAUGAGAGAGAGCAGGGUUAUCUGAAUGAGAUGCCCAUUGGUGAGGCCUUGGUCACUACUCAGCUCCAUGGUCACCGAUCAAUUUUUUACAUGAUGGCAGUGGCGGAUAAGGUAUACUUCUUACUUUAUGGUUUUUUUUUAGCAACUAUUUUAAUGACUAACUUGAUUUUUGAUUUUUGAAAAUAGGUGAAGUCUGAGCUGGACAAAUUUAUAGAGGCAAAGGAUCAGGCCUUCAGUCUUUAUAACAGCAUGUAGGCUGAAAAGACCCAGUUUGCUCUGAGGGAGAAGGAGUAUGAAGAGAAGCUGAAUCAAAUGGGGAUCGAGUUGAACUCAAGGAUCGAUGUCAAGGAAAGAUUGAUGGGGGAGAUCUGGGUAUUGAGGGCCUCGGAGGAAGAGGCCAGAGCUCGAGCUAAGAAAGAGCGCGACAAAGUCAUGGAGGCCAUCCAGAAGGUACAAGAGGCCACCGAAAGGGCAAGGGAGGCCACCAAAAGGGCUGAAGAGGCUGAGGCCAAGGUUGACAGAGGGGUGGAAGCCUAGAAAGAGUCCUCCGAGUUUGACGUCGUAGCCCAUGAUGUCUAUGUGGUAGCACUGGAGGAGCUGGUGGGGCACAUCAGGAAGGAGAGGCCUGAUAUUGACGUGGCCUUUCUGGAUGAGGUGCUGGAGGGGCAGAAGGAGAAGCUACAGAGGUUGUUUGAGAGUGCUAGAGUCCGGGUAUUACCGGCAACCCAGGAUGUUGAAGAUAGUACCCCAGUCCCCCAAGACCCCUAGGCGGUUAAAAAAAACAUUGUUUUUGGUAUUUAAUUUUGCAAUAUGUUUUUGGCUUAUGAGUGAACUCUUUUUUUUGACAUUUUAUGACAUUUUGUUUGGAAUGGAUAACUGCUU
rnacentral:lncRNA from 1 species